GACGAACGCUGGCGGCGUGCCUAAUACAUGCAAGUAGAACGCUGAAGACUUUAGCUUGCUAAAGUUGGAAGAGUUGCGAACGGGUGAGUAACGCGUAGGUAACCUGCCUACUAGCGGGGGAUAACUAUUGGAAACGAUAGCUAAUACCGCAUAACAGCAUUUAACCCAUGUUAGAUGCUUGAAAGGAGCAAUUGCUUCACUAGUAGAUGGACCUGCGUUGUAUUAGCUAGUUGGUGAGGUAACGGCUCACCAAGGCGACGAUACAUAGCCGACCUGGGAGGGGGAUCGGCCACACUGGGACUGGGACACGGCCCAGACUCCUACGGGAGGCAGCAGUAGGGAAUCUUCGGCAAUGGGGGCAACCCUGACCGAGCAACGCCGCGUGAGUGAAGAAGGUUUUCGGAUCGUAAAGCUCUGUUGUAAGAGAAGAACGUGUGUGAGAGUGGAAAGUUCACACAGUGACGGUAACUUACCAGAAAGGGACGGCUAACUACGUGCCAGCAGCCGCCGUAACAC
rnacentral:rRNA from 1 species